rnacentral:lncRNA from 1 species
CGUGGGAGGUCGGGCUUCGAGCGUCCCCGGGCGCUACAGGUGGGUGAAGUUAAGUGGCUGCUGGAGCGUCUCGGGGGACAGCCAGUGUCUGCGGCGCCGAGAGGGCCGUUCGUGGACUCAAAUGGGUAUCACCCCUACCGUUUAUAGUCCUCCCAAUAGUCUGCAUCUCGUUUUGUCGUGGCUGGUCGUGUACUCCUUGUGGAGUCUGAAGGUACAAGGGGAUCCCCAAAAUGGAGAAGUGGGUGUCUUUGGAAGGGCCUACUGAGUAACAUGGUUGGAGUGGCCAAAAGACUUUGUUUUUCUUUUGCUACUCAAAAGAAAGCUGGAAUACCAAAAAUUUUUACUUACGGAUAUCAGGUCUUAGUUAAGAUCGUGGUUUGAAUUCAAGCAUCUAAUUUUGCCUACUCUCCUGUUAAAAAUCAAGUUUAACAACCUAAACACAAGGACAAAGAGAUAACAGCAACAAAAUGUUGGAAGCUGGAGAGCACAAGUAUGAGUAUGAGAGGUAAAUCGGAAAAGGGGGAGAUUAGUCAAAGGCUGCUCAAGGACUCUGAUCGCUAGAUCCUUUUUCCAGCUUCAUGUCUCUGGGCAGCUGCCCCUCUUUCCCACCACGGGCUCCCACCCCGGCUGAAUUCCCUGAAGGGGAUAAAUUCUCUGCUGAGUGGGUAUUCCACCUAAAACGGAGAAUAAGUGGCUUUAUGCCUACUGAAAACUGAAACCCCUCGCUAUCUGAUUAACCUAAGAGGCUGAGCAAAGAUACUGACAUCGGGUUUUCUGGACAAAUCAUACACCCAGAUCACCCUACAGUGAAAUUCAAAGUUAAAAGCACCAGCUAUCUACUUGGAGCUUCCUCUCUUUGUACUUUUUAAUUUUUACUUUUAAUCAUGGACAGCAACCAAAAAAAUCCAAUAAUGUAGAAAGAAGGGACCCAAACAACAGACAAAGGAAUAUGGAGGAAGCAGAUGCUGCAGGGAGAACACUUUUAAAAAUUCUCAUAAUAGCCCCAGAAAAAUAAGAGAAGAUGAAGCCACAACAGGGUGCAAUAAAAGGGGUAGGGGAUUUUUAAAAGUUAAUAGAAAUAAGAAAGAAGUGAAAAAACUAUUAGUAGAAGAUAACACUGAGGAAUGUAGAGCAAAAACUCUGAAAGAUAAGAAAAUUGGAAAACGCAGUACAGAGGGGAUGAAAUAAAUAAUUCUUAAAGGUGCUUGAGAAGCAGCGUAGUACAAAUAAGAAGAAAUAAGUAAUUUGGGCUGGGCACAGUGGUUCAUGCUUGUAAUCCCGGCACUGUGGGAGGCCGAGGUGGGCAGAUCACUUGAGCUCAGGAGUUUGAGACCAGCCUGGCCAACAUUGUGAAACCCCAUCUCUACUAAAAAUACAAAAAUUAUCUGGGCAUGGUGGCAGACACCUGUAAUCCCAGCUACUCGGAAGGCUGAGGCAGGAGAAUCGCUUGAACCUGGGAGGUGGAGGUUGCAGAGAUCACACCACUGCACUCCAGCCUCAGCAACAGAGUGAGACUCUGUCUCCAAAAAAAAAAAAAAAAAAGAAAAGAAAAGAAAUAAGUAAUUAUCAAGGCUCCAGGACUGAAGAACACGCGUUUUCAGAAUGAAAAGCUAGGCCAGGCACUGUGGCUCACACCUGCAAUUGCAUAACUUUGGCAGGCCAAGGCAGGAGGAUUACUUGAGGGCAGGAGUUUGAGACCAGCCUGGGGAACAUAGACCCUGUCUCUACAAAAAAUAAAAAGCAAAAAAUUAGCCCUGUGUGCCAGUGCGGUGGUAAAAGCUUGUAGUCCCAGCUGCUCGGGAGGCUGAGAUGAGAGGAUUGCUUGAAGCCGGGAGGUUGAGGCUGAAGUGAACUAUGAUCAUGCCACUGCACUCCAGCCUGGGUGACAAAACAAGAUCCUGUCUCAAAAAAAAAAAAAGUACAAUUGAACCUCCAUAACCAGAGGUUCCACAUCCAUGGUUUUAACCAAUGUCAGAUAACAGUAUUUAAAAAUAACAAAUAAUACAGCAAUUUAAAAAUGCAAAUAAAAAUACGGCAAGAGCACUGUCAACAUAGCAUUACAUCGUAUUAUUAUAAUUAAUCUAGAGAUUAUUUGAAGUACAGGAGGAUGUGCAUAGAUUAUGCCAUUUUAUAUAAGGGACUUGAGCAUCCAUGGAUUUUGGUAUCUGGGAGUCCUGGAACCAAUCCCUCAUGAUACUGAAAUGUAACUAUGUUUUUAACAUGAAUGGUUGCACUGAAUCAAGUUUUCAAGGAAAAGAGCCUUCUGACUCAUAGAAUCAGACUGUAUUCUGUGACACAGAAGAAAACACAUAUCUACCUGUGUUAGGGAUCCCUAAGAUCACCUCCAGGUUCAGUGAUGCACUAAAAGAACUCAUAGGACUCAGUUGUACUCACAGUUAAGAUUUAUUACAGCAGAAGAAUAUGAAGCAAAAGAGCAAAGGGAAAAAGUGCACAGGAAGAAGACAGGAGGAGGCCAAGCACAAGCAUCACGUUGUAACAUGUGUGAAGGGCUGUCUGCCAUGGAAGCUCAUUAGAGACUCAGGGAACAGCAGGAACACUCCCAAAUCCACCUACAGGCCAACCUUCAGGAAGCAGGCCUUUCUAAAGAUCGCAGUCUUAGGCCUGUUACGGUAACUCUUUUCUGCAUACUAACCAAAUGAGGAAUUCCUACAUAUUUGUAUUGAAUUUUAUAUUGGUGCUGUACAUUCUAUGGGCUUUGACAAAUGUAUAAUGAUGUGUAUCCAGCAUUAUAGUAUCAUACAGAAUAGUUUCACUGCCCUCAAAAUUAUCUGUGCUCUACCUAUUCAUUCCUCUCUCCUUGCUAACCACUGGCAUCCACAGAUUUUUACACUGUCUCCAUAGUUUUGCCUUUUCCAGAAUGUCACAUAGUUGGAAUCUUACAGUAUAUAGCUUUUCAGAUUGGCUUCCUUCACUUAGUAAUACGCAUUUAUGGUUCCUCCAUGUCCCUUCAUGGCUUGAUUGCUCAUUUCUUUUUAGCACUGAAUAAUACUUCAUUGUUGGGACGUACUACAGUUAAUCCAAUCCUGCAGCAUCUGCUUCCUCCAUAUUCCUUUGUCUGUUGUUUGGGUCCCUUCCUUCUACAUUAUUGGAUUUUCUUGGUUGCUGUCCAUGAUUAAAAGUAAAAAUUAAAAAGUACAAAGAGAGGAAGCUCCAAGUAGAUAGCUGGUGCUUUUAACUUUGAAUUUCACUGUAGGGUGAUCUGGGUGUAUGAUUUGUCCAGAAAACCACUGAUGUAUCUAUUCACCUACUGAAUGGAUUUUGUGUUAUCACUUUUUUGAAUUUCACUGUAGGGUGAUCUGGGUGUAUGAUUUGUCCAGAAAAACCCCUGAUGUCAAUAUCCAUUCACCUACUGAAGGACAUCUUGGUUGCUUUCAAGUUUUGAAAAUUAUGAAUAAAGCUGCUAUAAACAUUCAUGUGCAAGUUUUGUGUUAUCACUUUUUUUUUCCAGACAGGGUCUCUGUCACCCAGGCUAGAGUGCAGUGACUUGAUCAAGCUCACAGCAGCCUCCAUCUCCUGGGGUCCAGCAAUCCUCGCACCUCAGCCUCCUGAGUAGCUAGGACUACAGGUACAUGCCAUCAUGCCUGGCUUUUAUGUAUUUAUUUAUUUAUUUUAGUAGAGGUGAGGUUUUGCUAUGUUGCUCAGGCUGGUCUGGAACUCCUGUGCUCAAGGAGUCCUUCUGUCUUGGCCUUCCAAUGUUCUGGAAUUACAGGCAUGAGCCACUGCGUCCAACCCUGUGUUAUAACAUUUUUAAGCCAAGGAGAAAUGUUUGUUUUUGACAACUUAACCAUAUCUAAUUAAAUGUUUUAUUAAAACCAUUCACGUGGGCCGGGUGUGGUGGCUCACACCUGUAAUCCCAGCACUUUGGGAGGCAGAGGCGGGUGGAUCACAAGGUCAGGAGUUCGUGACCAGCCUGGCCAAUAUGGGGAAACCCCGUCUCUACUAAAAAUACAAAAAUUAGCUGGGUGUGGUGGUGCAUGCCUGUAAUCCCAGCUGCUUGGGAGGCUGAUGCAGGAGAAUUGCUUGAACCCGGGAGGCAGAGGUUGCUGUGAGCCCAGAUCGUGCCACUGCACUCCAGCCUGAGUGACAAAGUGAGACUCUGUCAAAAAAAAAAAAAAAAAUUCACAAUUCUAACACUGUACGUCCAUCUAGUUGAUCCAUUGAUUCAUGGUAGCAUGCCAUAGAGCAAAUAACAAAUAUACAAUAGCUACAUAAAAUAUAAAAAAUUUAGGAAUAAAUAUAAUGUGCAAGAAUGUAAGACCUCUACAUAGAAAAGUAUAUAUUUAAUAAAGUAUAAAACAUUAUUGAAAUGUUAGAAGAUGUAAGCAAAUAAAACAUGAAAUAUUUGUUGGGGGAGGAGGAUUGUUGUUUUGUUUCAUUUUUCUUUUUUCUGUUUAGUUUUGGUGGAAUUUGAUAAGCUGAUUCUAAAAUAUAUAAGAAAAUAUAAAAAUAGUUGUGACAUUGCUCAAGAACAAGGUGGGAAGUCUUCUACAUAUUCUCAAGACUUAAAAAGAUUAAGUAAUAAAUUCCACUCACUAUUGGUGCAAGCAUAAACAAAUGAACCAAUGGCACAGAGUUGAGAACUCACAAAAGAUCCAUGUGUAUACACUUGAUUAAUGACAAAGGAAUCACUGCAGAGCAGCAGAAAAAAGAUAAUGUUGUGACAACUGGAUAUUAAUAUGGAAAAAACCUGAAACUUGACCUCUACCUCACACCAUAUACAAACAACUCUAGGUGAUUUCUAGACUUAAAUGUAAAAGGCAAAACAACAAAGUUAUCAGAAAAUAAUAUAGAGAAUAUUUCAUGAUCUCUAGAGAAUAAACCCUUACAUGAAGCCCGAAAAGUAUUAACUACAAAGGGAAAAAAUCAAUACAUUUGGCUACUCAAUAUUUAAGAACUGUUUAUCAAAAAACACAAGAGAGUAAAAAGCCACAGUAUGGAACAAGGUAUUAUUUGUAAAAUAUAUAACCAACAAUGGACUGGUGUGAAGAAUAUAUAAAGAACUCAUAUAAAUUCAAAGAAAAAAGUAAUCUAGAGGAAAAUGGCUAGGAAAUCAGAACACUUUACAAAAGAGGAUAUCUGUAUGUUCAAUAAACAUAUGAAAAGAUGCUUAAUCUUGGUAACCAGGGAAAUGUGAACUAAAACCACAAUUAGAUACCACUACAUACUCAUUGGAAUGGCUAAAAUUAAAAAGACUGGUAAUACCAGCUAUUGACAAGGAUGUGAAACAACAGAAACUUUAUACAUGGCUGAUGGUAGAGUAUAAAAUAAUCAUUUUGAAAAAUAGUUUGGCAUUAUUUACUGAACUUUAAGAUACACAUCCUCUACGAACCAGCAGCUCUGCUUCAUGGAAAUGAAUGAAUGUAUGUGCUCCACAUAGAAACAUGGUAUCCCUUAAAUGCAGAAAAGGCAUUAGAUAAAAUUCAGUAUUGGUUCACCAAAAAAAUUCUUAGUAAAUUGAGAAUAGAAGGAACAAUAGAAAAAGAACCCAAAUCAUUUUGUAAACAUCAUACUCAAUGGGGAUAUCAUAAUAGCAUUCCCCUUAAAAUCAAGAACAAGUAAAGGUGCUCAUUAUCACCACUUCUAAUCAGUAUUGUACUUACCAGUGAACACAAGUGAAAGAAAGAAAAGGCAUAAACAUUGAAAAGAAAGAAAUAGUCAUUAUUCACCAAAGAUAAAAAUAACUACAUAGAAAACCUAAAAGAUAAAAGAAUCCUUAAUAAAUUACUAGAUGUAAGAGUUUAGCAAGGUCGCUAUAUAUUAAGUCAACCUAAAUCAAUUGCACUACAAACCGAAAUAAAAUUAAUAUUAAAAAGAUACUAUUUAUAAUAGCUAAAUAUAUGUGGAACUUAGGGACAAAUAUGACAUGUCUAUCUGUGCAAAUGUUUAUGGAGAAAAUCCUAAAACUUACUGAAAGACGUUAAAGAAGACCUAAGUACAUUUUUAAACAUUUAUUUAUAAUUUUUUUUUUAAUUUUUCUUUUCUGAGAGAAAUGGGAAGAAAACCUUUGGAAGGUUUUAAGCAGGGAAGUAGCUUAGUCUGAUUUACAUUUUUAAAAGAUCAUUCUGACUGGUGUAUGAAAGAUGAUUACAGAGAGGCUUGUGGAAGAGACCAGAUAAGCUAUUGGAGUGCAGGUGCAGGGCUAAUAUUUAGCUGGCAAAUACUGGUACUGUGGCCUGGAUUCUUUAUGGCCAACAUUUGCUGACUGGAUGCAGUUGGUUGGCACCAUGCUGUGCCAUUAGCAGUUGUUAAAUAUUUUGAUUAUUUCUCAGCGUUCCCAUGAGAUUUCAAGGUGGCUCAAACCAGGCUGGCAGCAGUUGUCAUCUGGAUAUGUUGGCUGAUAAAGGAUAUCUUCUGUAGGAACAGGUGGGAAGACUCGCUGAUGUGGUAGAUGUGGGGGUUGGAGGAAAGAAUAAUCAAAGAAAGCAAUGAUGUUGUCUGUCUUCUCCACUAGCCUGUGCACUGCUUGAGAGCAGAGAUGAUCCCGGUGCAGUUUUAUCCCCAGCACCUAUCCCUCUACCUGCCACUAAGAGGGUAAAAACAUUCCUGCUGAAUGAAAUUGCUACAUGGGGACAUGAGUGCAGAUGUAGAGGUGUCAGUGUGGUCUAAGAGUGAGCACUAUAAGAUAAGAAAAAACAAGCAAGAAUCAAGCCCUUUAUAUGUAGUCUAAAUAGGACCAAGAUCUCAGAUGACCAUCCCAGUAGGAGUCGGGUAGAAAGUUAGUGGAAUUUUUAUUUUGUUUUGUAGAGAUGGAGGUCUCACUAUGUUUCCCAGGCUGGUCUCAAAUUCCUCCUGGCCUCAAGCAAUCCUCCAUCCUCAUCCUCCCAAAGCACUAGAUGUGAGCCACUGCAGCUGGCCAAUUAGUGGCAUUUGACCAAGGAAAAGUUUGAGGAUGAAAAGCACUGGGACCUCAGACAGGAGCUGUGAGAGAUUCAGUCCCCUGGGACAGUGGGUUACAGGGGUCAGGAAGCCCAACUCCUGAGGAACAAUUCAGAAAAUUAAUUUCAGAAAUAAUGGCUUAAGGAAUGGAAAAUAGUAUCAGGAAUGCUAACAAAGUGGGUCAGAGUGAAAAAAGUGGCAAUGCUGACCUGAUAAUGGAGGAGCCACACUGGCUGAUAAUGGAGGAGCAACACUGGCUGAAUCCUAUGCCUAAGUGUUCAUGACAUCAAGACCUUCUUAUGCACCUUGCCUAGGAAGGAUUUCUUCCACUGCCUAGGACAGAACUGAGCAUAACGCAUGAGAUUUAAGGAAGCCCAGCUGCUGGGGUAGAUAGAGGCUCAGGGAGUGAGGAAAGCCAGGUGGCCUUUUCACCUAUCAGCUGUCUCCUCAUCCCAGGAGCCUGCAAGAACCGAGACGGUGAUUUAUAACCACUUGCUUAGUAUCCCCCAGACUCAACACAGUGCUUGGCACACAAUAAGUGCUUAAUAAGUUUUUACUUUUUGUAAAAUUUAAAGAUUUUUGAAAUUCAAAAUUUAUUGGGUUUGGCACAUUUAAGGUCAUUCUUUUCCAAAUCUCAAAAUGGGAUGUUAGAAAACCUUAAAAUUGAUGGGACGACAUUAUUUUCACAUUACCAAAUAUCCAGUUAAAUAUGUUUUGUGAUUUCCCAGUAAAAAACAAAAUAAAUUAAAGACAAAAUAAAUUUAAAUAAAGUUAGCUCAGAGGUCCAAACUCAUGGAUUACAAAUUCACGUGGAGCAUUGCGUUUUCCUACCGGAAUGUGAUGUGUGAGCACCGAUGUUUCCACCAGAUCCUCCGGCUUGUGGAUUACUCCAUUCAUCAACACCAGUGGAUCCUAGAAGAAAAGAACAUUUUGAAAGUGACUUUGUGUCUUUGGGGAUGCUCUUCUUUAAACAUCAGUAGGAAUAAACAUUCUCUUUAUGGCUAUAAAGGAAAUUAAACACCACAGACCCCAGAAAAUAAUAACAAUUAAAAUACUAAUUACAACAUGAGUUUACAUUUAUUUUAACACCCCCCAAACACCAAUAAAAAUUUAAAAGAUGUAAAUUCUCUUCCCAGAACCAAUUAUCAAAACAAAGAUUUCACUUUAGCUCUCUUAGGAGAAGAUAAUACUUAAGCUAACUAGAAACAAGAAUGAAUUAAUAUAUUUCUACUUUUGGUAGAUUUGAAAAGUGUAGUUUGAAAUACAGUUUCUGAGAGAAAACUGGAUUUAUUUUCCUCAUUCUGGAGUCUUCUUUGUGGUUGUUGGUAUCACCAUUCUUUCAUAUUCUUAAGCUCAGUGCCUAGAGAGAAUUUUGGGUUUUGUUUUGUUUAACUUUUUCCUCUCCAUUACCUGCUAUGAUGCUAAUUCAAAUCCUUCUUAGUUGGUAGUAAUGGCCAUGUAAGGCAGGGAUGAUUCUCAACCCUGUUUUACAGAUAAUCAAGCUAAGCACACAGGAUGACUGCCCAAGAAGCAAGUGACCGCAAUGGUGAAGCUGGGCCUCCACCCUGCCGUCUGGCUGACUUCAAGGCCUGCACAGCCUCUUAAGCCGCAUCCUGCUUGCUGCCUCCAAGCUUUCCUGACUGCAGCCUUUUCUCCAGUCACUUUUGAUAGAGGAGUUAAGAAGAAAUUACUUAGGCAGAUAGUGAGGGUAUGGAAGUCCUCGGUAAGGUUUUCCUUUUAAUGAAAAGCAGCCCCAAAUCAUUUUCCUUUCUAACAAACAGCAGCCUGUAAAAUCAAGCUGCAGACAUAGAUGCCGGCAGUUGUGCCAAUCAUGUUCAGAAUGGUGGCUCCCUUCUCCCUUCUCUGCCAGCCAUAUGUACAGUAAGGAGCAGACAACAUGGCUCGGGCCAAGGGUAAAGUUGAUUUGCAUAAUAAGAUUAGGGUGGGGCCCACCAGCCUUCCCCUGCACUAUGUAAACAUCACGCCUGACUGAACCAAUCUGUGAGCCCUAUGUAAAUCAGACAAUGCCUUCUCAAGCCUGACUAUAAAAUCCUGUGAGUCCACUGCCAGCCAGUCUUUCCUCUGGGAAGCCCCUCUCUCUCCCUAGAGAGAGCUGGUUUCCUUUCUCCUUUCUUUUUCUUUUGCAUAUUAAACUUCCACUCCUAAACUCCUCAUGUGUGUCCCUAUCCUAAAUUUUCUUGGUGCGAGACAAUGAACCAUGGGUAUUCACCCCACACAACGUAGCCUCUUCACUUUCUUCUUAAAUUUACCCAGACUGACCUUUCUAAUUCCCUGAGGCCACUUCUCAUUUUCCUGCUUCAGAACCAGCAGGAACUCCUGAGUGAAGUCCGAAUUCCUCUGCCGGACUUUUACCAUUUCUCUGUGAUCUGGCCUAAUGUGGACAAGUCUGUAUUUCCGCGCUGCAGGCCCUUCUCUGCAGCGGGGUGGUCAGCACUUGGCCUCCUUUGUGUCUCAAGCUGCGAGGCUCCCUCCCCCUUCAGCCUCUUGGCUUCACUCUAGUUUCAGUCUUCUGUGCUUUAUCGUUUCUCAUGCUGCACUCAGGCGCCUCCCUACAACUUCAGAGACUUAACUGACCUCUAAAUUCUUUUAUAUGUGUCAGUCUUAGCUCCCCCAAAAGAGGCUCAGAGCCUAUACAGCAGUCGUUCUUAAAAUGUAGUCCCUGACCUGAAGCAUCAGUGUCACCUACGUGCCAGUUAGAUGCACAUCUUGGUCUUCACCCCAGAUGUUCUGAAUGAAGAAUACUCUCAAACCUGAGCAUGCAUUAGAAUUUCCUGAAGGGCUUGCCAAACCCAGAUGACGGGGCCCACCCUUACAGUCUCUGAUACAGUAGGACCAGAGUGAGGCCAGAAAAAUUUGCAUUUCUAAAAGGUUUCCAGGCAAUGCUGAUGCAGCUAAUCUAGGGACCACACUCUGAGAACCCCUGCUAUAGAACUUAGCAGGAAGCUUGCCUCAGUUUAAUUAGAACAGAAUAUUUCAGUGGUUUUCCAUCCAAAAUCUGAUUUCUGUUUCAAAGAUUGAUUAUAGACUGCUGGGAUGACACCUCAGGUUUGAAUCUAGGUGGAAUUCCCACAUAUUGAAAUGUUUUUAGAGGCUGGGUGGUGUAAGUAUUCUAAUGCAGGUGUCAGCUGGGGGCAGACAGAUUAAAAGUACAAUGUAAAAUGUAGAGCAGUGGACUCUGUUCCAAGUAUGUAACAUCCUUUUACUGAUUUCAUUCUCAAAACAACCUAUGAGGCAGUUUCCAUUAUUAUCAUUUCUGGUUUACAAACGAACAGGCACCAGAGCUUAAAUAAAAGAAGAUUUCAUAUGGGUAGUAAGGUUAGAGCUAGGAUUUGAACUGUGGCAAUGUAGCUCCAAAGUCCAUGAAUUUGUUUUUUGUUUUUUGGGGGUUUUUUUGGUUUUUUGUUUUUUUGAGAUGGAGUUUCAU